UGAUGACAACACUGUCAGCUAAAGAGACCAGGCGAUGACAACACUGUCUUUUCCCCGGUUCUGUGAGGUGACUCUUGUCUUGUCCUCUGUCACGGGAUGCGGUUUGUGGGAGUGACAUCAUCGGAGGUAUGGACACGCCUCCGUCCACCCCCAGCCUGCCUCCGUCCACCCCCAGCCUAUCAGGUGAGCUGAACCUUCACCUGAUGGUCCUUUUCAACCAGUUGUUCAACCAGUUUCCGGAUUUUGGACUGAUGCUUGUACAGUGUGGUGAUACAGUGCUGUUAUGUGCAUACUUACAGUAUUAAGUGAUUAUUUGUUUGUUUAUGUCUUGGUGUCAUGGGUACGCUGGCAACUACGCCGCUCCGUCUGGCAUCUUUUCUCUUAAUGUUUCUAAUGGGUUUGUUUUGGUGUUACCUGUUAAUUGUUACUCGUUACUUGUUGCAGGGCAUUUCUGAAAAGGAGCCUAAAGCUCAGUCAAGUUCCCCUGAAUAAAGAAUGGUUGAUGAUUAA